rnacentral:lncRNA from 1 species
UUGUGUCUGUACUUUGUCUGUAUUCGGUCUGUAUGUAAACGAUGUCCUAAAUCAGUCUGUAAGUUGACCAAGUCAACUAUCCUCCUAGUUUGACUUGGACAACAUGAUGUUGUCUGGAUCGAAGGAUAGCCUCGAAGGAUACAACUGAUCCUUCGAGGUGCUCGAAAGAUAUGGUUCGACCAUGGUUCGACCAUUAGGCAUCGAAGGAUGAUCCUUCGAUGUCCAUGCUGAUCUUUCGGACACAUUGUCAUCGACAGAUGAUCCUUCGGACCAUCUAUCGAUCCUUCGACCAAGACCUGUUAUAUGCACAUUUGGAGAGUUAGUGAAACUCUGCUGGAAAACACACACACACACACACUUUAGAGAGUUUGCAAACAAGAUUGUAAACAUUGUGCUUGUAACCGUAAACCUUCAUACGUAUUAAUACAGUGGUGUUAAUCGGUGAACUUUGU